rnacentral:pre_miRNA from 1 species
CGGGGGAGGUCGGAUCCUGGGCUGUGUCCCCGGCGCCCUGUGCUCCUGGGCUGUGCUGCUGGGUUCCGCCCCGGCCGCGCAGCCCCCU